rnacentral:rRNA from 1 species
GGGAACUAGCAUAUCAAUAAGCGGAGGAAAAGAAACAACAGGGAUUGCCUUAGUAACGGCGAGUGAAGCGGCAACAGCUCAAAUUUGAAAUCUGGCCCUUGGGUCCGAAUUGUAAUUUGUAGAGGAUGAUUUUGGUGCGGUAUCUUCCGAGUUCCUUGGAACAGGACGCCUUAGAGGGUGAGAGCCCCGUACGGUUGAAUGCCUAGCCUCUGUAAAUCUCCUUCGACGAGUCGAGUAGUUUGGGAAUGCUGCUCUAAAUGGGAGGUAAAUUUCUUCUAAAGCUAAAUAUUGGCCAGAGACCGAUAGCGCACAAGUAGAGUGAUCGAAAGAUGAAAAGCACUUUGAAAAGAGGGUUAAAUAGCACGUGAAAUUGUUGAAAGGGAAGGAUUUGUGACCAGACUUUUUCUGGGCGGAUCAUCCGGGGUUCUCUCCGGUGCACUUUGCCCAGUAAAGGCCAGCAUCGGUUUUCGGCGGGGGAUAAAAGCAGUAGGAAUGUGGCUCUCUACGGGGAGUGUUAUAGCCUAUUGUAUAAUACCCUGCUGGGGACCGAGGUACGCGCUUCUGCAAGGAUGCUGGCGUAAUGGUUAUCAAUCACCCGUCUUGAAACACGGACCAAGGAGUCGAACAUUUGUGCGAGUGUUUGGGUGUUAAACCCUCACGCGUAAUGAAAGUGAACGGAGGUGAGAGCCCUUACGGGUGCAUCAUCGACCGAUCCUGAAGUUUUCGGAUGGAUUUGAGUAAGAGCAUAACUGUUCGGACCCGAAAGAUGGUGAACUAUGCGUGGAUAGGGUGAAGCCAGAGGAAACUCUGGUGGAGGCUCGCAGCGGUUCUGACGUGCAAAUCGAUCGUCAAAUCUGCGCAUGGGGGCGAAAGACUAAUCGAACCAUCUAGUAGCUGGUUACGCGAUUCCCUC